rnacentral:tmRNA from 1 species
GGGGUUGACUGGAUUUGACAGCGGGCAGAAAUGGUAGGUAAGCAUGCAGUGGGUCGGUAAUUUCCACUUAAAUCUCAGUUAUCAAAAUUUUAUCUGGCGAAACUAAUUACGCUCUUGCUGCUUAAUCGAAUCAUAG